GAUGAACGCUGGCGGCGUGCCUAAUACAUGCAAGUCGAGCGAACGGACGAGAAGCUUGCUUCUCUGAUGUUAGCGGCGGACGGGUGAGUAACACGUGGAUCACCUCCCUAUCAGACUGGGAUAACUUCGGGAAACCGGAGCUAAUACCGGAUAAUAUUUUGAACCGCAUGGUUCAAAAGUGAAAGACGGUCUUGCUGUCACUUAUCGAUGGAUCCGCGCUGCAUUAGCUAGUUGGUAAGGUAACGGCUUACCAAGGCAACGAUGCCUAGCCGACCUGAGAGGGGGAUCGGCCACACGGGAACUGAGACACGGUCCAGACGCCUAAGGGAGGCAGCAGUAGGGAAUCGUCCGCAAUGGGCGAAAGCCUGACGGAGCAACGCCGCGUGAGUGAUGAAGGUCUUCGGAUCGUAAAAAUCUGUUAUGAGGGAAGAACAGAUGUGUAAGUAACUGUGCACAGCGUGACGGUACCUAAUCAGAAAGCCACGGCUAACUACGUG
rnacentral:rRNA from 1 species